rnacentral:rRNA from 1 species
AUUGAACGCUGGCGGCAGGCCUAACACAUGCAAGUCGGGCGGAGCGCCGGACGGGUGCGUAUUACCUAGGAAUCUGCCUGGUAGUGGGGGAUAACGUUCGGAAACGGACGCUACUACCGCAUACUCUCACCUUAGCCUAGGUCGGCUUAGCUAGUUGGUGAGGUAAUGGCUCACCAAGGCUACGAUCCGUAACUGGUCUGCGAGGAUGAUCAGUCACACUGGAACUGAGACACGGUCCAGACUCCUACGGGAGGCAGCAGUGGGGAAUAUUGGACAAUGGGCGAAAGCCUGAUCCAGCCAUGCCGCGUGUGUGAAGAAGGUCUUCGGAUUGUAAAGCACUUUAAGGUGGGAGGCGUUACCGACAGAAUAAGCACCGGCUAACUCUGUGCCAGCCGCCGCGGUAAUUC